AGGUGGACCUCGCGUGACAGUCUCCCAUGAACCCCGCCAGGUCCGGAAGGAAGCAACGGUAAGUGGAUCGGGCUGUGUCGUGAGUAAUUCUACUCUGC
rnacentral:SRP_RNA from 1 species